CCCCUAGAUGUUCUGGGCCGCACGCGCGCUACACUGAACAGUUCAACAAGUCUUAACCUUGGCCGAUAGGUCUGGGUAAUCUUUGAACGCUGUUCGUGAUUGGGAUAGACCUUUGCAAUUAUGGGUCUUCAACGAGGAAUUCCUAGUAAACGCAAGUCAUCAGCUUACAUUGAUUACGUCCCUGCCCUUUGUACACACCGCCCGUCGCACCUACCGAUUGAAUGGUCCGGUGAAAUCUCGGGACGGCGGCUUGGUCGCUUGCGUCCGACUGCUGAAACUUGAUUAAACCAUAUCAUUUAGAGGAAGGUGAAGUCGUAACA
rnacentral:rRNA from 1 species